rnacentral:rRNA from 1 species
AGAGUUUGAUCCUGGCUCAGAACGAACGCUGGCGGCAGGCCUAACACAUGCAAGUCGAGCGGGGGAGCAAUCCCUAGCGGCGGACGGGUUAGUAACGCGUGGGAACAUACCCUUUGGUACGGAAUAGCCUCGGGAAACUGAGAGUAAUACCGUAUGUGCCCUUCGGGGGAAAGAUUUAUCGCCAAAGGAUUGGCCCGCGUUGGAUUAGGUAGUUGGUGGGGUAAUGGCCUACCAAGCCUACGAUCCAUAGCUGGUUUGAGAGGAUGAUCAGCAACACUGGGACUGAGACACGGCCCAGACUCCUACGGGAGGCAGCAGUGGGGAAUCUUAGACAAUGGGCGCAAGCCUGAUCUAGCCAUGCCGCGUGAGCGAUGAAGGCCUUAGGGUUGUAAAGCUCUUUCAGAUGGGAAGAUAAUGACGGUACCAUCAGAAGAAGCCCCGGCUAACUCCGUGCCAGCAGCCGCGGUAAUACGGAGGGGGCUAGCGUUGUUCGGAAUUACUGGGCGUAAAGCGCGCGUAGGCGGAUUGGAAAGUUGGGGGUGAAAUCCCGGGGCUCAACCUCGGAACUGCCUUCAAAACUCCCAGUCUUGAGUUCGAGAGAGGUGAGUGGAAUUCCGAGUGUAGAGGUGAAAUUCGUAGAUAUUCGGAGGAACACCAGUGGCGAAGGCGGCUCACUGGCUCGAUACUGACGCUGAGGUGCGAAAGCGUGGGGGAGCAAACAGGAUUAGAUACCCUGGUAGUCCACGCCCUAAACGAUGAAUGCCAGUCGUCGGCAAGCAUGCUUGUCGGUGACACACCUA